GGCGCUAUAGUGUAGUGGUUAUCACUCGGGAUUUUGAUUCUAAUACAAAGUUUCCCGAAACCCAGGUUCGAACCCUGGUAGCGCCU